rnacentral:rRNA from 1 species
AUUGAACGCUGGCGGCAGGCCUAACACAUGCAAGUCGAGCGGGGUUUUCGGGCCUAGCGGCGGACGGGUGAGUAAUGCGUAGGAAGCUACCCGAUAGAGGGGGAUACCAGUUGGAAACGACUGUUAAUACCGCAUAAUGUCUACGGACCAAAGUGUGGGACCUUCGGGCCACAUGCUAUCGGAUGCGCCUACGUGGGAUUAGCUAGUUGGUGAGGUAAUGGCUCACCAAGGCGACGAUCCCUAGCUGGUUUGAGAGGAUGAUCAGCCACACUGGAACUGAGAAACGGUCCAGACUCCUACGGGAGGCAGCAGUGGGGAAUAUUGGACAAUGGGCGCAAGCCUGAUCCAGCCAUGCCGCGUGUGUGAAGAAGGCCUUCGGGUUGUAAAGCACUUUCAGUAGGGAGGAAGCGUUGAGUGUUAAUAGUACUCAGCAUUGACGUUACCUACAGAAGAAGCACCGGCUAACUCUGUGCCAGCAGCCGCAGUAACAC